AAAAGACCUGGCUGUGGUAUCUGUCACUGCACUGACCUCCAACGUUGAUUUGGCCGAUCUGGCCGUCUAGGUGGGUGCCCCCUUUCCCCUCACUGUUCAUGUGCAUCCCUCCCUCACCUGCAGGCUCUGUCUGAGAGGACGACCUUCCCUGAUAGAGUAGGACUGUUUCCUUGGUCAAGGGUGUAUGAGCUGAGCCCCCUUGCUAGAACCUCCAAACACCAAAGCGGCACUUUCAAGGUGCUUUCUUAUUCCCUUUAACCUUCACAGCUGCCCCAGUAAGAGGGAGGCAAGAGGGAGCUAUUUUUGCUAUUCAC
rfam:Cavia porcellus supercont2_15 genomic scaffold, whole genome shotgun sequence.